rnacentral:lncRNA from 1 species
CGAACACUUGUAUGAUUUUACACAUGAUAGCCAAGUUGAAAAUUUUCGUCACAUUUUUCUCAGGAACUACAAUACAAGGAUUUCUGAAAUUUGGUUUCAGGAUUUAUAUAAGUCAGCUAUACCGUGUGAUGCGUUUUCAGAUUCAUCACUUGACAACUUCCUGUUUACCGAACACUUGUAUGAUUUUACACAUGAUAGCCAAGUUGAAAAUUUUCGUCACAUUUUUCUCAGGAACUACAAUACAAUGAUUUCUGAAAUUUGGUUUCAGGAUUUAUAUAAGUCAGCUAUACCGUGUGAUGCGUUUUCAGAUUCAUCACUCGACAACUUCCUGUUUACCGAACACUUGUAUGAUUUUACACAUGAUAACCAAGUUAAAAAUUUUCGUCACAUUUUUCUCAGGAACUACAAUACAAGGAUUUCUGAAAUUUGGUUUCAGGAUUUAUAUAAGUCAGCUAUACCGUGUGAUGCGUUUUCAGAUUCAUCACUCGACAACUUCCUGUUUACCGAACACUUGCAUAUUUUUACACUAUUAAUAUUAUCCACUUGCGGCGGGGGUAUCAUCAGUGAGCAGUAGCUCGCAGUUUCACUUGUUAUUUUUUUU